rnacentral:rRNA from 1 species
GCUUGUCUCAAAGAUUAAGCCAUGCAUGUCUAAGUAUAAACAACUUUAUACUGUAAAACUGCGAACGGCUCAUUAUAUCAGCAAUAAUUUAUUUGAUGGUUUCUUACCCCAUGGAUAACUGUGGUAAUUCUAGAGCUAAUACAUGCGUUAAAACCUGACUUCUUGAAGGGUUGUAUUUAUUAGAUAUUAAACCAAUAGUCUCUGACUGUUGUGAUGAUUCAUAAUAACUGAUCGAAGCGAGGUUCGCCUCGCUAAAUCAUUCAAGUUUCUGCCCUAUCAGCUUUCGAUGGUAGUGUAUUGGACUACCAUGGCAGUCACGGGUAACGGGGAAUUAGGGUUCGAUUCCGGAGAGGGAGCCUGAGAAACGGCUACCACUUCUAAGGAAGGCAGCAGG